rnacentral:rRNA from 1 species
UACGAAGGGGGCGAGCGUUGUUCGGAUUUACUGGGCGUAAAGGGCGCGUAGGCGGCGGGUCAAGUCGAGUGUGAAAGCCCCGGGCUCAACCUGGGAAUUGCGCUCGAGACUGGUCUGCUUGAGUUCGGGAGAGGAGAGUGGAAUUCCCAGUGUAGAGGUGAAAUUCGUAGAUAUUGGGAAGAACACCAGUGGCGAAGGCGGCUCACUGGCCCGGUACUGACGCUGAGGUGCGAAAGCGUGGGGAGCAAACAGG